rnacentral:tRNA from 1 species
GGGCGGAUGGCGAAAUUGGCAGACGCGCAGGAUUUAGGAUCCUGUGGGGAAACCCGUGGAGGUUCGAGUCCUCUUCCGCCCA